rnacentral:rRNA from 1 species
GACGAACGCUGGCGGCGUGCUUAACACAUGCAAGUCGAACGGUGAAGCGCUUGCCUUUUUGGUGGGUGUGGAUGAGUGGCGAACGGGUGAGUAACACGUGAGUAACCUGCCCUCUUCUUCUGGAUAACCUCAUGAAAGUGGGGCUAAUACGGGGUAUUCCGGGUCUGUCGCAUGGCGGGUUUGGGAAAGAUUGCGCCUUUGGGUGUUUUCGGUGGGGGAUGGGCUCGCGGCCUAUCAGCUUGUUGGUGGGGUGAUGGCCUACCAAGGCGGUGACGGGUAGCCGGCGUGAGAGGGUGGACGGCCACACUGGGACUGAGACACGGACCAGACUCGUGCGGGAGGCAGCAGUGGGGAAUAUGGCACAAUGGGCGCAAGCCUGAUGCAGCGACGCCGCGUGAGGGAUGGAGGCCUUCGGGUUGUGAACCUCUUUCGCCAGUGAAGCAGGCCUGCCUCGUUUGUGGGUGGGUUGACGGUAGCUGGAUAAGAAGCGCCGGCUAACUACGUG